UAGAUUUUUAAGUGACAACUAUUCAUCAACAUUGAAGCCUCUUGUAGUUUAUGCAUAUGAGCAAGUCCCCAUUUGAUACUUAGGGAGAAAACAGAGGUAGCAUGAUAAUUUGUUCUGUGUAAUAUAAGGGAGGUAAAUUUAUUUAAGAGGAAAUCUUAAGCCAUUGUUAACUGUUUUGAGGUCUCAAUUUUAAGUUUGUGAUGUUCUUUGACACGACAAGCCAAAUUAUUAUGUUUCUUGUGGACGAUGUUAUUUAUGCGAAAUAUAUAUUUGAUUUGUGUACAUAAUUCAGCUAAAUUUGAAAUGAAGAUGGUAAGCUUGAACCCAAUUCCUUCCCCAUAAUCUUGCUUUAUCCUAAGUAGAAACCUUUUAGAUUGUAUUUGUACAUUUUUCUUUCUGACUUUAUCUAGUCAAAUAAGAUUACUGACUUCACCUUUGUUGUUGGUGGUGGAUUUCAUGUUAGCAUGCCCAUAAGGAACUCUGGAGUCUUGUCAUAGUUGUAGAGCUAAAAAUCACUUCUUUGCUGAGUAUAGAAGGGAACGCCCUUGCACACUAUGUAAGCAUGGAUUCGAAAAAUAUUUUGUUGUGAAAAAGGAGACUAAAAAAAAUGGGAAAUUAUUUUUUUACUGCAGUAACAAUUGUGGAUUUUAGGGGUGGGUUGUAAAUGAAAAAUCAAGUGGUCCAUCGAUGAACCCUGCGAAGAAUGAAACAGUUGAAGAAAUGUCACAUUCGUUCCAAUCUCGAGUUUGAAUAAGUGACGAUAAAGAGCUCCAGAUUUCAGUGAAUGUGACAGUCCAAGCUGAAUAAGUAAGCGUGCAAGGGAAUCCGAAAGGGGAGCAGCUUGCUUGAUCAGUAGAUAAUGAUCGAAUAGGUUUUUCAGAAACUUUUGUAUGUAUGUGACUAAGUUAUGUACGAACUCUUGUAAUAAAAAGGUCUUAAUGAAAUCUUACAACUGCA
rnacentral:lncRNA from 1 species